rnacentral:rRNA from 1 species
UAGGGAAUCUUCGGCAAUGGGGGCAACCCUGACCGAGCAACGCCGCGUGAGUGAAGAAGGUUUUCGGAUCGUAAGCUCUGUUGUAAGAGAAGAACGUGUGUGAGAGUGGAAAGUUCACACAGUGACGGUAACUUACCAGAAAGGGACGGCUAACUACGUGCCAGCAGCCGCGGUAAUACGUAGGUCCCGAGCGUUGUCCGGAUUUAUUGGGCGUAAAGCGAGCGCAGGCGGUUUAAUAAGUCUGAAGUUAAAGGCAGUGGCUUAACCAUUGUUCGCUUUGGAAACUGUUAAACUUGAGUGCAGAAGGGGAGAGUGGAAUUCCAUGUGUAGCGGUGAAAUGCGUAGAUAUAUGGAGGAACACCGGUGGCGAAAGCGGCUCUCUGGUCUGUAACUGACGCUGAGGCUCGAAAGCGUGGGGAGCAAACAGG